AACGAACGCUGGCGGCGUGCCUAACACAUGCAAGUCGAACGCGAAAGGGGGCAACUCCCGGUAGCGUGGCAGACGGGUGAGUAACACGUGGGUAACCCUGCCCGGAGGUGGGGGAUAACCCUUCGAAAGGAGGGCUAAUACCGCAUGAUAUCCAUGGGUUUUAGAACCUGGGGAUCAAAGCUAGCCUCUACUUGUAAGCUAGCGCCAUUGGAGGGGCCCGCGGCCCAUUAGCUAGUUGGUGAGGUAACGGCNCACCAAGGCGACGAUGGGUAGCCGGCCUGAGAGGGCGAACGGCCACACUGGAACUGAGACACGGUCCAGACUCCUACGGGAGGCAGCAGUGAGGAAUCUUGCGCAAUGGGCGAAAGCCUGACGCAGCGACGCCGCGUGGAGGAUGAAGGUCUUCGGAUUGUAAACUCCUGUGAGGU
rnacentral:rRNA from 1 species